rnacentral:misc_RNA from 1 species
CGCCGUUAAAACACGCAGCUCUCGAUCAAUCCAAUCCAAUCCAAGCAACAGCGGCAACACGCAUGCAUGCAUGCAUGCAUGCAGUGAGGCUAAAGGGUACCACUACACCUUCUGUGCAGCGGCGGGCCCAGCACCGUGCCCGUGGCCGCCGCCGGCGCCGACGGACGCCAGCGCGCUCUUCACCGUCAUGGCGACGCGGCAGCCCCUGAACGCCCGGAAGCUCUCGUGGCGGACGACGCUGAAGCACAUCGGCGCCGCCGCCUGCUCCUCCUCCUCCUCGCCGCCGUCCUCGUCCGCGGCCGAGAACGCGAACACCCGGCUCCGCAUGGUCAUCGACGAGCACGCGGCGGGCGACCGCGCGCUG